CCGAAUACCUGACAAAAUCCGCUUGGACCAAAAAGGCAGAACAAACCUAAUUAGCCCGGUCGACCCACUCACAAGGUGUGGGUUGCUAAGGCUCCCCACAGCUCCAAGAGCAAGCCUCUCCCUGCCUGUCCCUUUCAGGUCUGUGAAAGAAUCAAGUGGCCACAAUGGGCACGGACUCCAUUAAAAGGAGGGGGCUGGCCAAUGAAUAAACAUGCAGGUUACCGUGUUGAUAUUUCACUGAAUGCCAUUCUGAAGUGGGGUGUUUGGGGCCUUGGAGGCCUGCGCCCCUGGUAUUGUGCUGGGGGAGGGACUGGCCAUUUGAAGUCAAGGUGAGGACAUACUGGGGGCAGAUGGAACCUGCUUUGUUUGUGAAAGAGUUUUUCUGCUAUUUAUGCUAAUGAGUGGGAAACACUUCCCAAGCAUUUCAGAUGGUUCUGUAAUGAGGCCCGGCAGAAUGUGCCAACAUUGUUGGCCCUGGACAAUUUUAAACUCCCACUCCGCACAUUAGCAGCCCCUUUCUUUACAGGAAGGCCCUCAGAGGGUGAAAGAGGACAAUGAAGGAAGAGUGAAAACAUCACAAAGAGGGGCUUUUGUUUCGCCUUCCUUUGAACCCUCUGAAAAGCCCGCUCUCAAGGGGUGUGUUGGGCCUGCCUUUCAAGGUUACUGAACCCAGAAUCCCCUGUUGUUUAGCAACAUAGAAAGCUGACCUUAAUUGACUCCACUUCUGAGCAGGCUUUGUAAAUCACUCUGCCCCAGACUGAAAUUUCCUGACGGCGUCUGCAUGAGCUAUGGAGUGUCCCUACAUAGGCUUCCAACAUGCCAGGGCAACGUGUCGGCCGUCGUGUGGACAGUGAUGUAUAGCUUACCCUCCCUUCUCCCUGGAAUUCUCGUGAGGACCUGCCUCGGGAUUAGGAGACGUUCUUCCCAUUUUGCAGGAAGUGUCAACGCAAUGGAGGAAAGGAAAGGCAACAUCUAUAACCUGGGAAUCCAGAACAGGAGAGGCGUUUUCCAAUCAGCCUGGCACCGAGGCUCCGGUGGAGCUGGUAGCGCUGCACACUCAGAAUGAGACUGGACUUGCCCGGAGAGUCGGGGACCGUGCUGGGCUUGUAAGACGUGGAGUUAUCAUUCAUCUAUUCAUCCCCAGUGGGUGAAAAAGGGAAGUAGACCCUGCUGGACUCAAGAUGCUUAUCGAUUCAUCCCUUUAGCAGGCAAGCAGGAAGACGCGUGAGCCCCUCGGGCUUGGGGCUUUGGCUCCUGGAGAAGUUCUGCCCGGUUCCCACAGGGGCUCGGGAGCCAGAGGAGCUGGGAGGGGCGGCAGGACCCCGGCGGCUUUUAUUUUGCGCCAUAAAGGCCUUCACAAUGUCUGCUGGAAUUUCAACAGUUAAAGAGACCCCCGGUACAAAGAGGCGCUGCGACAGUAAUCGGGAAAUAAAUUUGAUUUUCUGAAUUCUUUGGCAGCUGGUGACAAAGGGCCAGGUAUGGCGCCGCGGCAGGGGUGAUCCCUGCAGAAGGCGGCUGCGCAGUGGGGCGUGCGGCCCCCGAGGCACAAAGGCGACCGCGCCGGGAGUGCGCCACAAAGGAGCUGGGGCUCUGCGAUGGCCAGGGCCGAUGCGGGGCGGGAGUCGCCCACUGCUGCUCCGCCACGCUACCGCGCUGCGCCAAGGCCAGAGGCGGAGAAUCAAGGGCGCAGUGCUCGGUCUUCGACCUGGGACUUCAGGGGCCUCCACUGGGGCCACGAGCAGCAGGAGACUUUUAUAGCUUAAAUCAAUUCAAGAAAUGUCAAUUAACCCCUUGCCUAAUUCAGCCUUUUGCUGGGGUUUUUCAAGGGUCAUUGGGGAAUUCCCUUCUCUGUGAGGGGCCCCAAUUUCCCCCAGGUUCACCAAACCGAGGAGGCCCCCUUCCUUUAUUUAUGGGAUUAUAUUUUGUCGUUUCAAAUGUCUUUCCUAUUUGUGUGUCUGUAAAUGGCUUUCAGGGCCGUGGUGGAUCUUGUUCCUCCUUAAGAGACAAACCAGAAGUGCUAGGGAGAAACCCUAGGAAAUGGUGCUGCUAGGCCUCUCAGGCAAGAAUGAGGACUUCAUUCACGCAUGCAUGCAUGCAUGCAAACACUAAGCGUCCCCUUUCCCUCCAGCCCUUCACUGAUCUUUGACUAUUCUGAUCUCCUCCAGUUACUUCAUGCUUCUAAGUCUGCUGCGUCUCAGCGCCUCUCCAGUGCUAUUGGAAUAGAACCUCCAGCUCCCCCACCAGCCUGGAAGCCCCAGGGAGGGAGCAGCAUUCACUUUUUCAGCCACACACCCCAGCCCCCUCACUUAUGGAGAUGCAUGCCCAUGUCGAAUUUUCUCAGCACCCCUCUCCGAUGUUCCAGCAGCCAUCACUCCAGAAGCACAUCAAACUUGGGUUCCCUUCCUUUUCUGUUCAAAGUGAGGCAGUCCACAAUUAUUUGUAGGGGAUGUCAAGAGUCCAGAAAAGCAGACUUGGAUAGAACAAGAUGUGUUAGCAUGCAGCUUGCUAAUGCUUGAGCCCUCUGUGGUGGAAGCAAAUAUGUCCAGAUCAGCAGUAGAAGAACGUGGAUUGAUUCACGCUGAAUUUUGGGCUCGCUGACCUAGACAUUCACUGAAUGUGGACUAUCAGGAUUGUCCCUUUGCACCUGUUGCUCCUUGUCCUUGGAGUAGCUUCCAGCUCCUCUUCCUGACACACUUCUUCCUGCUGCCUGUUAGGGUCCAGCUGGACUGUCCCCCGCUCUGUGAAGCUGGCUGCAGUUCCUGCUUCCCACCCUUUCCUCACCAUGCACAGAGGCAGUCCCUCUCUGGACUCCCGCUGCUCCUCCUUGCAGCCUUAUCUGCGGUCACUGUGUUUUCCUAGGAGGCUGACAGAUGUGAGAGUGAGGAUUUUGUCUCACUCAUCUUCAUAGGCUUUUCAGGACUCAGCUUAUACUGGCUCACAUCCAUGGGUGGGUGGAUUGUAAAUCUCUUGAAGGAACAUCUCUUUGAUUGGCUGGUUUGACUUCUUUUUAACAAAUAGCUUACUAGCUUUCCUCCUAGCCUUUCCUGGCUAGAUGCAGCCAGAUAUCUAACAGCAUUGAAAUGAUACGGAAACAAAAACUGUGUCCCGGGCAUACAUUGGCUGUAAUGCAAUUCAACAUUGUACACUGCCAUGGUGCUGUGAUACACAGAAGAAAGAGAUUGGGCCUCUGUCCCUGAAGGCUUUUUUUUUUUUUUUUUUAUACUGGAGAUUGAACCUAGGGGCACUUAACUACUGAGCUGCAUCCUCUCCCAUUUAUUUAUUUAUUUAUUUUUGUAUUUUAUUUAGAGACAGGGUCUCACUGAGUUGCUUACAGCCUUGCUCAAUUGCUAAGGCUGGCUUUGAACUCACGAUCCUCCAGCUGCAGAAGGAUCCAAAGCUGCUGGGCAUGGGCCACUGGUGUGGGCCACCAUGCCUGCCUGGUAUCCCUGAGGUUCUUGAAUGAGGGACAGGGUUGGGAGCUUAGAGAAGCACACAAAUUGUUGAAAUGUGGGAGGAAAUUAAAGUGUCAUAAAGAAGACAGUGUGCCAUGGGGGUCCUAGGGGAAAGCAGGAAGCCAUAGAGAGGGUCAGGGAAGGCCGCCUGGAGUGGGUGGCACAUGAGAUGAGACUUGAGGGACGAUCUGCAGGAAGGGAUCUGGAUGGAGCUGCAGGGCCAGGUAAGAGCAGAGUGAAGAGUCUGGAAGGUGGGUGGGGCCAGUACAUGGAGGCCAAGGGCUAUGUGCCAAAGAGUUUGUGGUCAGUCUGGUGAGCAGGGCCGGGGCUAUUUUAAGUUAGCCAGAGGACCUGCUGUCCAGAUGCGUGGAGCACUAGAGGUGGGCCUGAGGCUCCAGCUGCUGGUCUGAUGCUGGUUAAACCAGCUCCCGACCCCUCCCUCCUUGCUAUCUUUACUGUUGCUUUGUAAGAUUUCUGCUCCUCCCGCACUUGCAUUUCCUGUGCUCCUCCCCGUUACCCUUUAAUUUUGAUUUGCGAAUUCUGUGGGGAUUUCUUCUUACCCUUCAUAUAUGUGAAGGGAUCAGCUCGUCUUUCUGCUACCCCUGCAGCUGGCCCCACCUGGUUCCCUUCGCUCCCUGUCCCAGCCCUGUGACCCUUCUUGGAACUCUCCCUGCCUGCUCCUCUGCACUUCCAGGAACACUCAGCCCCAACUUUAAAACAUCACUCAAAUGCUCCUUUUGGCCUCUCUCAGCCUAGGUAAACAUUAAAAUUCCAUUGUCUAUAAAGCAAAUAGAAAUUCACUCAUGAGAAUCCAUAUAAGGGGCUUUUAAAUGAAGUAGUGCUCAAGAGUUCAGCCUGGAAGGUAUUCAAGGCAAGGGGCUCAGGUCUACCAUCCCCAGCCCAGAUAACUCGCCACCUCUGCGUGAAUGCGCCCAGCUCUGGAAGGUGGGCAGAUGGCCUGGCAAUGUGUGAGCAGCUUCACCUCCUUCCUUCCUCCCUGUUGCAAGCAGCCAAACCUGCUGGAGAAGCCUAGGCCACACAACAGGAGUUGGGUUCACUCACUGUCUGUGCCUGGUGGCUUCUGCUCAUUCAUGUCUUCCAUUCCCUGUGGCAAAAGGAGGUUGUGUGGAAAUCCAGACAUGCUCUGAAGGGGGUGUCUUGAUUUUUUUUAUUUUUUUUUAUUUUUGGAUCCCUUGGCAUGGUUACCUGCACACGGGAGUUAUUCAAUACGUGUUAGCUGGGUCACUCCCUUCCAGUCCACUAAACUCCAUGUACUUGAAAUCCUUUCCAUAGACUCUCCUGGAUAUCUUGCUCUACAAGAGCAGUCCCAGGCACCCCAGCGCCUUCUGCCUGGCUCUGUAGGUCUUGUUGCCGGGCAUUGUCUUUAUGUGCUCAGCUCUGUUCAGACUUCUUCCUACUCACCAUGCCCUGCUAAAGCUACAGAGCCACCAACUUGACUCUCAAAAUGGAGACCUUGAGUUCAAACUACCCAAGUAAACACAAACUCCAAAAUGAUGUACAAAUAUAGGCAAAACAUCAAGAAAUGAUGGAUUUUCUAUGAAGGAUCAUAUGAGAUAGCAAUAGUGAGAGGAAUGGUGGGCUAAGGAACCACUUUUAAGUAUUCAGACAAAGCAAAUGAAAAUGAAUUGGUUAUAGUAAUAUUAAGAGAAUAGGCAUCUUUCUUAAAAAGCAUUGAUGAGGUCUGUCUUGUAGAUUUCUAGUCAGAAAACGUAUUUUGGUUGUAUGAUUUCUAUUCUAUCUUCUUCCAGAAAUGGUUUGAGAGAUAUAGAACAAGUCAACAGGAAAAGAGAAAUAAUUCAUUACAUAUUAGCCCAAGCUUUAAAACUGUGUAACCUCUUCUCCUCUGCCUCCCGUGUGUGAGAUGAAGGGGUUAGAACAGGACAUCUGUAAAGUUCCUGUUGGCACCAACAGGCUGUGGUUGAUGGAGAGCAGCAUGAUUUCUUAUAGGAGUGAGUUUACUUUCUGUGUGUGUGUGUGUGUGUGUGUUUUAAUGGAGCAGGGUACUCAUUCAUUACUGGCCAUUCUUUAAGUAUAUUUUUCUCUGAUUAGACUGUGAGCCCUCCAGGGUCAGGACUGCCAUCUUCACAGUAACUGGCACAUAACAGAUGCUCAGCAAAUAUCAUCUAAUGAAUGGACAGGGAAGGCAGGUGAUUUCAAAGAAUGAAAUAGAAUUCUCCUAUUCUUGGAAGGAAAUUUCCUGGGAGAAAAAGAUUUUAAACCUGUCUGAACACUUUCUUCUGGGGUCUUUUCCCCUGUCAUCUAAAGUUGGUGUAAGCCUCAAAGCACAGCAGGUCACCCCUGUGCUGGAUAUUUUCAGUUUUUAUUAGCUUUCUGACUUCUUUUAGAUUCAGCUGAUGUCUUCCUGGUUAUCUUGAUCUCUGACAACAACAUAAUAAAAUAAGCAGCUUUGCUGCUUGAUGGGGAGGAGCUGUCCAUGUCCACCUGGGUUGUUGUGGUUCAGGGGUUCUCACUCCUUCUGAGCCACAGAGAUGUCAAGACAUUUCUUCAGUAGAAAACUCAGUCAUCCAUCCUGAUGUUUUGUCUUUAGGAGUAAAUAUCUUGUAAGAUUAUACAUCAAGAUUCUUAUUGUGGAGUCUAUUGAUUUUAUAGGGUCCAAAAAUAUUCUGAAAAGUGGACACAAUAUGUCGAGACUAAUCCCCCUCUGAGACUGAGGGAUUUUCUUCCCAUUAGAAGAAAUGUCACAGUCUUAGUUUGGUUAGUUUUUUUUUUUUUUUUCUUCCUUGGUAGGAGGUAAGUAGCCUUACACCACCUUUGAAUUCAUUUUCCCUUUUGGAAAAAAAAAUUCAUAGGAUCACACAAAUGGAAACCACUGUUGAAGCUUUUUUCUUUCUUUUCUUUUCUUUUUUUUUUUUUUUUUUUGCAUUUAGCAUGAUGUUUCAUGCACGAAUCCCAUAGUAUCUUCUCCUUCGGGCCUGGAAAGGGUCCUAGACAAUGUGGUUUCCAAGGUUUGCUGACUCCUGGAGUCCUAGCCAAGGGAGGUCAAGUCCUGAACAGAUUCAGUGGGCAGAACCCACUCUGUAAACCCAAGUCAAGAGCCUGGAAAAAGGCUGGACAAGUGUUAUGCCUUGCUUGGCUGAGCAGAUAGAAUGAGGAGAAAAAAAUAAACAAAGAGAAGAUGAUGACUAAAUUCAAAGAGUGAAAUUCAGAGGUAGACAAAUACAAAGAGGGGUAAUAUCGUCACAGGUCUGAAGUUAAGAAAGGGAGACCUGAGUAGAAGAGGACCUGUGCAAGUGGGCCCAGUCUUUUGUUUAUAUAGUGGGAAACCGAGGCUAGGAAAAGGGCCAGGAUGGCUCCAUGUCACACAGUAAGUUAGAGACACAGCGGGGGUGGGAACCGGGUCUCCUGACUCCAGGGCUGCUCACGGGACACCAUAAGGUCAGCCCAAACUUGUUCCUCUAAGAUCGCGUAUGUUUAGUGCAGUCAGAGGGUCAGAGAAGAAAAAGAAAGUUGGUUAGUUAUGGUUUGCCCACUGCACUGGGCCCCGGGCGAGGCCUUCUCCCUGUAAGCACUCUUUCUCUGAAGAGUGGUUAUGAAGGUUUGUUAGUUCCAUUGGCCUCCCAAUUCUUCUGGAAGCUUCAGCAAAGAGAAAGGGAAAAAAAGGAAAAAAAAAAAAAAAAAACCAAGUAAAUCUUCAGUUUUGGAUCAUGAGAGGAACCCAGAAGAGGCCUCACUUGAAGGCUCACUAGGCUUUCCUCAGAGAAUAAGAUCUUCCCCAAAUCUGUAGUUUCUUUGAAGCUUUUUCUUUCAAUUUUUUUUUCAGUCUUUAAAUAGGAAGCAACUCAAAUAUUUCUUUGUUAGCAUAUGCUUCUUCAUUUGAUUGGCUGGCAGACAGUAUCAUGAAAAUCUGACUGAUAUCAUCCCCUUCCUCCUUCCCUGCUCUCCUUCCCCCUGGCUGAGUCCAGGACUUCCUUUCACUCCAGGCCCUUCCUCUCCAAGUCCAAACCACGGCCUGGGGGUGCCUAGCCUAUGAUAUUCCUGCUUCCAGGAAGGCUGUGGCAUCCGAAUACAGAGAGCCAAAGGAUCUACUCCUAUGCCUAGUCGAGUCGCAGGGGGAUGGGGCUGGAAGAGUCACCAAGGUCGGCUUUUGAAGGUCUUAAAUUGCCAAAUGCAAGAGUUUUCUCUUGAUGCUCUAGGCCAUGGGUGGCCAGAGAAGUCUUUAAAGGAGAAACAUCAUGAUCAGGUUGAGUGUUUAGACAAGACUGUGGAGGAGCUGUGUGCAAUUGGAGCGGCAGAGAGACGGCUGCCCAGGCUCAGGAUGCUCUGCAGGAGAGGUCCUGAUGGCUUGACCUUGGGUCGCGCCACAGUGACGACAAAAAGGAGAUGGAUUCAGUACAUAUAAAAGAGAGAUUCAAAAGGAUCUGGCUGUGAUGAGCACGGAGAGGGUGGAGGGGAUUAUUUGGUUAGGGAGGAGGAAGUGGGCAGGGGAAGUCCAGGAAUAUCAGGUUUCUGGCCUGGGAGCUAGAAUAUAUCCAAUUAAGUAAGGAGGCAGAGAUAUGGCAGGAUGGGAGCUAUGAAGGAGAAGGAAUGGUGCGUUCCUCUUGGGGCAUUCUGAAUUAAGGAGCUCUUGGGACAUGCAGAUAGAUAUGGGAUAGACAGGUCUGGGAUCAGGAAGGCACCACAGCUAAGCAUCCGGACCGGCUAGCCAGAUGGUGAUGAAGCCAGGUGCAGAGGACUCUGAUGGGUUUAUGCCUAGAUCUAUGUCCACUACCCUAAUCAGAGUCUCUGUGUCCUCUACACUGUCACCCCAUUGAUCCUUCUGAAGCACUCAGCUCAGACUGAAUGAACUACCAGUGUGCACAACCUUCAGUGGGUUUUUAAUGCUCAAUGAAAGACUUUUUCCAAGGUCUUUCAUGCCCUGGCCUCUCUCUGCUCUUCUAGAAUUGUUUUUAUCUCCAUACAAACACCCCAUGCACCUUACAAACUAAACUAUAUCUUUUCUUGAAUAUACUCAUUCUUUUCUGUUUGCUCAGGAUGUUUCUUUCACCUUUUCCUCUUGAAAGCCUAUCCUGUCCACAGAGAAUCAGAUGAAAUUUUCCUUGGCCACCCGCCCCCCCCCUAUAGUGAUCUUUUGGGUCCUGAUGCCUCCUGAUUUGAAUUGUGACACCCCUCCAUGUACCAUGGCCACAUGGUUGUGAUCCUCUUCAGCUCCCAAAAACAAUAGGGCUAAGUUCCGUACCACUUGCCUCAAGGAAGGGACGUAAGGAAAUAUAGAACUAGGAGAACGAUUAUUAAGACAGACCUUGGCUUUUGAGUUUUAAAAGUCAAGGAUAUGAAGUUCUAAGGACUUGGACUUUUGAGUUUACAUUUUAUGUAAUAAAUUAUAGAUUAUUUGGAAACAGAUGUGAAGCCAGACUUCCUAACUGCCAGAUUAGAAGCAGAUUCUCCAGAUUGAGUAAAAGGAGAAUUGGAGGGCUCAGUCUCCAGGAAUCCUACAGGCCGGGGUCUGGUGGGCACUGACUGCCACUGCAGCUACUCAGUCUCUAUCCCAGGAAGUCUUUCUCCCACCACCGCAUGAGCUGACCUUGCAGUUGGAACAUCAAUAGGGACCCUCCAUCAAGGUAACUCCUGUCAGGUCCGGAAGACAUUGUCUAGUCUCUUUCUGGGUUGCUCAGAUGGACAACUCCCUUUCCCAUUGUCUAGGACCCUACUGUGAAUUCUACUCAUACGUCCUAAGAUAAAGGGUGGGAUCCCAGACGUCCAGUGGUCUGCUAGUGAUAUAACUCCUGCCCCACACCAUGUUUGUACUUCUAGGAUAGCUCAGAAUCCCCUCUGGCAGAAAUAUACUCUGUCCUUGACUUUUCUACUACCUUUAGAUUAUGAUCUUUCUCAUACUAUGGAUACUUGUUAGGUUGGGUAUCUUUGGGGGCCUCUCCAUUCUUCCCCACUUUCCUCUCUUCUCCAGAGGCUGGUCAACCAGGACUCAGGCCUUUGGAUUUCCUGUUGACUCAGACAUCAGGGAGCCCUGGUAGGGAGGGGGAGAGGGCAGUCAGGGCAACAAUUCCUCUGGCUGCUCCUUGUCAGGUAGCUGCUCUCAAUGGGAUCCUCCCUGACCUCCUGUCUCCUUUGGAGUUCCUGUCACCUUAGUCUUAUCUUGCUCCUUCUGAACAAGGUGGUGAAAGUUCUGUUACCAGCAGCCUCAGACACCACACUUAUCUCUUGUUUUCCUCUACCCUUGUCUGUAUCUUCAUAGCCAGUGCCUUGGUUAAAUCCUCCUUGAAUUAUUCCAAUUCAGAUGGGACAUCUGUUUUCUAACGGAAUUCUAUUGCAGAUUCCAUUUUCCAAAAAUGGAAUGAUAUGAUAAUAUCUGCCCUUCCACAGCUCUUCUUACAAUGUGACUUUGACAAUUCACCCUCAAGAGGAAAUGACACUGUGACUUCUGACUAGUCAUAAAAGAUGAUACUGCUUCUGCCUCAUUCUUUGGGAACACUUGCCUUUGGAGCCUGGGCCUGUCAUGUAAACAGUCUGACUUCCUGGCGACUGCUGUGCUAUGAGGAAGCUGAAGCCAGACCCUGAGUGUGACCAGUGGAGAAGCCCUGUGGCUAACUGAAGAGACAGAUUCAUGACCAACGCCCAGUGGCUUCAGCACCCCCUGACUGCAACUACCAGAGAGACCAGGGCCAGAAUUGCCCAGCGGAGCUCUUCCUGAAUUCCUGUCUCACAGGCACCAUGAAAGAACUCGAAUAAUCACUGUUGUACGUGGCUCUCUGCGAAGUGAUUUACUAUACAGCGACAGAUAACUGCGACUGACGGAUAUGCUUCAGAGACAUCUGCAGAUGUGCGUCUGCAGGGGCAAACAAAAGGUGUCCAUUCUGGGUGGCAAGCUUCCUGUGAUGAAGGGAUUGGGCCUUAUUGUAUUCCCCAGAGUGGCCAUCACACAGUGGUCCAUUCAUGAGUAUUUGUGAAUGGCCCAAAAGAUGUGCCAGUGAGAGUUUUGGUCUUCAAGGAAGAUUUGGGCAUUCUGAUCAUGUGAUAAAUAAGAAAAUGGAGGUCAUUGCAUUGCUGAUCCCCUGAAGGACAGACUGUGGGUUCUGUUUCCACUUACAAGUGUGUUUCUUUGAGCCCUGAUGAUGAAAAUCUGAUAUCUUUCUGAUUUAAGAUAUUCUUUUGAACUGAUAUUUUCAUUAAGAAGCUGAAUACUAAUUGUAUUAAAAAGAGAUAAUGGACUUUCCCAAAGACUCAUCCAAACCUCCACACUAAGAGUGGCUUCCCUGUUUUCUCUCUCACGUGUGUGUGUGUGUGUGUGUGUGUGUGUGUAUGGUGUGUGGUCAGUUCAAGGCCAGAAAAAGAACUGCCCCAAACUGGGAAAUGGAGUUCAGUGUGGGGAAAGAGGCCACCGCUUGGGUAACAUUCCUGCUUGGGUUUGGAAACUGGGUGUGCCAGAAAUUUCCUGGAAAGUUUAUUUUUGCUGAGUUUUAAGCCUGACUUCAGACCAUUAGAGCUCUUGGAUAAUGCCAGUUUGUUCAAACAUGCAAAGAGCCAGCUGUCCCUAGAAAUGAGAUUAUCUCUUGCCAGCUGAGAGUUUGUGGUCUGGCUCGUCUACGUGCUUGAACACUAAACUUUUAAAGUAAAUUUUAAGUAAAGGUCAGGGAGAUGUUGUGUUGCCCAGAGGCAGGGCUGAUAUGAGUCCAUCUAAAUCAGUGCCUUUCCCAGGGGACCUUAUGCACAUGCAGAUUCUGACUCAGGGAGUCUGGAAGAAGAC